UAGCAGAGGGUGCAAGCGUUGUUCGGAAUUAUUGGGCGUAAAGGGUGCGUAGGCGGUUCCGCAAGUCCUGUGUGAAAUCUUCGGGCUCAACAUCGAAGUCUGCACGGGAACUGCGGGCUUGAGUGUGGGAGAGGUGAGUGGAAUUCCGGUGUAGCGGUGAAAUGCGUAGAUAUCGGGAGGAACACCUGUGGCGAAAGCGGCUCACUGGACCAUAACUGACGCUGAUGCACGAAAGCUGGGGGAGCAAACAGG
rnacentral:rRNA from 1 species